rnacentral:rRNA from 1 species
CCCCUAGAUGUUCUGGGCCGCACGCGCGCUACACUGAACAGUUCAACAAGUCUUAACCUUGGCCGAUAGGUCUGGGUAAUCUUUGAACGCUGUUCGUGAUUGGGAUAGACCUUUGCAAUUAUGGGUCUUCAACGAGGAAUUCCUAGUAAACGCAAGUCAUCAGCUUGCAUUGAUUACGUCCCUGCCCUUUGUACACACCGCCCGUCGCACCUACCGAUUGAAUGGUCCGGUGAAUCUUUCGGACUGCGCGCGGCUUCGUGCCGUGUCGCGGAAAGUCAGGUAAACCUUAUCACUUAGAGGAAGGAGAAGUCGUAACA